AACAAGGAUUCCCCUAGUAACUGCGAGUGAAGCGGGAAAAGCUCAAAUUUUGAAUCUGGCGGUCUUUGCAGACCGUCCGAGUUGUAAUCUAGAGAAGCGUCUUCCGCGCCGGCCCGUGUACAAGUCUCCUGGAAGGGAGCAUCUUAGAGGGUGAGAAUCCCGUCUCUGACACGGACCACCGGGGCUAUGUGAUGCGCUCUCGACGAGUCGAGUUGUUUGGGAAUGCAGCUCAAAAAGGGUGGUAAACUCCAUCUAAAGCUAAAUAUUGGCGAGAGACCGAUAGCGAACAAGUACCGUGAGGGAAAGAUGAAAAGGACUCUGGAAAGAGAGUUAAACAGUACGUGAAAUUGCUGAAAGGGAAACGCUCGAUGUCCAGUCGCGUCGUCCGGGGGUCAACCUUGCUUCACUGCACGGUGUAUUUCCUGGUCGACGGGUCAGCAUCAGUUUCGGUCGUCCUACAAGGGCUGAGAGGAAAGUGGCACCCUUCCGAGGGUGUGUUAUAGCCUUUCGGUCGUAUGCGGCGAGCGGGACUGAGGAGACUCGGCACGCCUCGCGGUGCGCUAGAGAUGCUGGCAUAAUGGCAUUGAGCGACCCGUCUUGAAACACGGACCAAGGAGUCUAACAUGCCUGCGAGUGUUUGGGUGGCAAACCCGAGCGCGAAACGAAAGUGAAAGUCGAGAUCUCCUCUCACGGGAGUGCACCGACGCCCGGAUCCGUCGUCUUCGACGGUGGAUCUGCGGUAGAGCAUGCAUGUUGGGACCCGAAAGAUGGUGAACUAUGCCUGAAUAGGGCGAAACCAGAGGAAACUCUGGUGGAGGCUCGUAGCGAUUCUGACGUGCAAAUCGAUCGUCGAAUUUGGG
rnacentral:rRNA from 1 species